UACUUUGGUGCUGUGUGUGGCUUUGGCACUUUGAUAUUUCUACCUAUUCUUUUGUGGUUCUUAAGAAGACAGUAGGAACAGUAUAAUCAUUCCCAUAUGGUACUGAUGGUCAGUUUUUUCACUUCCAUUUCAGAAUCCUCUAUGGUGUCGGAGAAAUGCUCUACAUGCUUGUGAUCUUUACUUUAUUUUUGAUAGAGGAGGACAUGUUAGUGAUGGAAUCACAUGAAUGAUUGCUGGAAAUAUAUUGUCUGUUGCUUUAUUGGUGAUGCGGGUGAGCUGAUUUGGGCCUUUUCAUCUUGGUCUGUGCAGAAUUGGAGCCCAUGAAGGAUCUGAAUGGAGCAUAUGUAUGCAUGCUACGGUUCAUAGGUGAGUGCGAAUCUUCAGCAUCCGUCUCACAUCGCUUCUGGGAAGAUGCUUUUAAUUGUUUUAUCGAUGAUAUCAAUUUGGUAGCAGCCUUUGAGUGGUGGCAAGAUUAUGUGCAUUCAGUACAUGCAUAUCCUUGGUUCCUUGCUUGGUGUGAGAUAUAAGAACUUCUUGUUUUACGUUCUUUGGAUGCACAAGCAGCAGAAGUCAAACUUCCUCCUUCUCAGCUCAUUGCUGGUGGUUUAGGCACGGGCCGUUGAUGCAGAUCGAUCAAGUGUCCUCCUUUUUAAUUAUUUGGAUUGGUGGUGCAUAGAUCUGGUGGUGCACUGGUGAGCCAUGACUAUUGGUGCUUAGUUUGCGUAGAAUGUAAUUGAUGUUUCCCGGACCUACAAAUAAUCAACUUGCAUUUCCCCAUGCGUUUGGUAAAAUGCAAAUGAGAACUAGAUAGGUGCCUCAUGUGCCUUUUUGUUAAGUAGGAUAGCCUGCUCCCAAGGUUUACGAGUCGACUAAUUUCAUCCGGAUAUAUACUAGCUAUUUGCUGGGAUGUGGUAUGAUCUUCAUUGUACUAAAAUCAUUCUUAUACAGACUACCAAAUAUUAGUGGCUUGGGCACUUUUGAGGACUGCUGCUUGGAUUCUUCAUGUGGUUUGAAUAUUUAUACAGGCCCCUUUGUGUACAAGUUUGUUGAUAAGUUGGUGAUAGCUUGUUCCAAGCGGUUUAGUUAGUCAAGUAUCAGACUAUAAAUUAUUCAUACCUUUGCUUUCGUGAACACAGUGGUAAAGCUGCUGCCUUGUGACCAUGAGGUCAUGGGUUCAAGUCCUGGAAACAGCCUCUUACAGAAAUGUAGGGAAAGGCUGCGUACUAUAGACCCAAAGUGGUCGGACCCUUCCCUGGACCCUGCGCAAGCGGGAGCUACAUGCACCAGGUUGCCCUUUUUUUUGCUUUCGUGAACACAAGAAUGAUACAUUCAGAAUCUAUUCAACAAAAAAAAAUGGAUAUGUACAAUACUAUUUCUACUUUUGAGAGAUGUCGGGAUAAAGAAGCUCUAUUUGCAGAGCAUUUUCUUCAGUAGGUUUCUUUACUUGCUUACUAAACCUUCCAUUUUACUAUACUGUGGCCAUAAAGCAACAUAUUGUCUUAUGGGGGUUCACAAAAAGGUUCCCAGUUCUUAGAAUUAGAAUUAUAUCGAUCACCUAAAUUAUUUUAUUCAUCGCCUGCAAGCCAACCAUCUCUAUUUAAAACUGAACCUUUUAUUAGUUCACCAUUUCUCUUGUCGCUAUGAUGAUGACUUAGACUGUUGCCACUUGGUGCUUAGAGGGAGAGGCACAACCUCUGCCACACCGAAGAGAUGGACGACGGCUUCCAUGAAGAAAUUCGUCGAAGUGACUCCGAUGACCCACAGGCGUGUCUAUCUCUCAAUCUUGAUUUCCUUGUGGGCUGAAAGCUGACAUUAUAAUUUGAUGCAUGUAGCAGCUUUUUUAUUUUCAUUGAAAUGAUUUUAUACCCUCUGUUAGUAGCAAUUUCCCUUGAUUUUUUAAUGCCACCAAACUAAAUGCCAUCGUUUCCAAUGUGUGUGUGUGUGCGCGUGCGUGCGUGUGUGUGACAAGUUCUGCUCUAAACAAAUAUAUGAGACACACAAAUGCACAGAUGAGUGUUCAUGUCCAAUUGUUAUGACAUGUGCAAUUAUAUUUUGAUCCAAAUUCCUGAACAAGCAUAGGUAUGAAUACUAAUGUCAAUGCAGUUUCGCUCUUCCUAGGACUCCAGCAGCAACCACAUUAUGGAUACUACAUUGAAUUUGUCUUGGACUUCUUAAUUUAACCUCUGUGCAUGUUCUUAUGACAGUGAUUUGAUGUGUAAAAUUUGUGACUUUUUGUAUGAUCAGAUUUUAAGGGAACACCGCCCUGCCGAAAAGCUGACCAUUCGAGCUAGCCACACUGUGAAAGGGCCAAGCAAUAACAACCUGAUAUACAUCAGUUGACGAUGAAGGUAUGUGUAUAUACAAUGUGUAGCGGGCUAGCGGCGAUAUCAUCUCAAAUUUCAUGUUUAAGCUUGAUGCAUGCUUUUAUAACUGCCCUGUGAUAUGUGAUAUUUGUUUGAUAUCGAAAGAAAGAAAUGUGCUCAUAUUAUUUUUCUGCUCGUUGAUAUGCACAUGGUUACUGCUCCUAUACCAAUUACAUGGAUAUCCUGAAAUUUGGUGUGCCUAUAUGCUAAUUCAGUUAGGCUUACAAGCAUAUAAAUGCACUAGCUUUUUAAAUAGUAAGAUUUUUUGAUCUAUUUUCCCCCUUUUGACAGAUCAGAUAUGUAACUUUAUCCAUAAGCUUAUUUGCUUCAGAGGUUUAUUGUACUGCUACAGUUUUCUCCACGGUACGGAAUCGAUGCUGGCGACCCCGCCGUUUCCACACCACCCCACGGUAUUUUGAUCCUUACCUUGCGCCCCAAGCCCAGCGCCUAUUCUUAUGUGCAGUAGCCGAAAUUCAUGUGCUUCCCUACUUCAAAUGAAAGGAUCCAUGCUACAUAAAUAAACUAAGUCAUGUUCUUUAGAAGUAUAUGCACUCCUGGACUGAAUGUCGAAACUGUGUUGUAUGUCUUCCUUUAACUGCUCUCUGAUCUCAAAUUUAUUUUCAUUGUAGUAACCAUUUGGGACUUGGAUAUGAAUUAUUUUGUCUGGGCAUUUCAAUUUAUUCGGACAUGGCCGGUUACCGUAUGGUGAACUUAGAUCAACUUAUGCAGACACACAAAAACACAUGCACUUAGACUCAUAUAACUUAGUACAUCACAACAUGAGUUAGGAACAAGUGCAAUGCUGUAAUUUUGAGCGAGCGAGAGAGAGGAGUACAUUACUUAUUCCACUUCUAAGCUACGCUUGUGCCCCUGUUCCUAAUAGUUUCAAACUGAUGUGUUUCUUGCCUUACAUGAAUUGAACCAUGCUACUUUGAAAUCAGAGAGCAGGCAACUAUAGGUUUAGUUUUUAGUUCAAGUAUAGUAUCUGCUAGCUACUGUAUAUGCAACACCACAUUUUGAAUUAUCCAAUAGAAUUAAGUUCAUGUUCAGACUGUUCUAGAUAGCAAACUGUAACAUAUGUGAACCUCUGAUGUACACUAGGAAGCGUUUGUUCAUUAGUAUGGCCAUAUGUGUCGUAGUGGCCAGGACCCUCCGGUGAGCUCAUCCACUCUUUAGUUUUCCACCCCUUUUAACCUUUAAUUUUGUUGGCCUUUCUUAUGGAUUUUCAUUAUUUCUUCUCUUUAUAUUUUCAAAUUGUAAUGGAGAUGAAAUGCACCUUGUUUCUUCUCUUUAUAUUUUCAAAUUGUAAUGGAGAUGAAAUGCACCUUGUUUCUUCUCUUUAUAUGCUCAUGAGGACAGUGCUAUUGCAUCUGAAUCGCCAAGUUGUUGAAGAAUCUGGUCUUUUUGUGCUUGCCUACAAAGCUUUCAUAUCUUAUAUUUGUUGGACAAACAAAAAUAACUGAUGGUUGAUUGUCUCAACCAUCAGUUGAGAACAUAGAGAUUUCCACGAAUGGGCAUUUCUGGACUGUUGAAUAAAAAUAAUAAAAAACAGAUGUAAAUAUAAUUUACUACAUAUAUAUAUAGAUGCGUUUGAUAUCGAAAUAAAGACAUGUGGCCAUAUUAUUCUCGUACUCAUUGAUAUGCAUACAACAGUCUGCUCGUGUAUCUAAUUUUUUUCUUGCUGGAUUGUGGUAUUAUGUGGUUUGCCUUUUCUGUUUUCGGACAAUCCUAUUCUAUCAAUUCAUCAGGAAGAUAUAUGCUUUUAUUACCAAGCCCACCGAGCUUUAACUUGGCCCAGCCCAUCUACAGGAGGAGCACAACAGGAAGGGAUAUAGAGCGACAAAUCCUAUUUUACUGUCGUUUCCCGGUUUCCACAUCGCGGCGACUCGAUCCGCCGCUCUCGGCCACGGCGCUCCCGAAUGAGUCAGAUUUAUCGAGGGACAAGACUGGCAAGUGCUACUCCGUGUCGAUCUUCGAUCGAGGUAGGUAAGAUAUCCUUUCCCAUCCGUUCUUUUCUCUUGCUCUCUUCCAAGAUCUGUUACGCUUCUACAGCUAGGUUGUGGGAGCUAGGAAAAGUACAGGGCCGUUAAGAACAUGAGGCGCUCCCAUUCGGUCGACAAUGGAGGUUUUCUUCGUCCUUGCGAUAUCCAAUCUCCUGUCGCUAAGCAGACCCACGACACAUCCCCUCCUCGCCCCAAUCCCCUCUUCUUGACCAUUUGUGCCUUUAUGUUCUUAUAUUAUGUUAAUAAAACCAUGUACUAAUACUUUCGUUCUGGUAUUGCCAUUGGCAAAAGAAGUUUAAUACACCUGGGCGUUGUUUUGUUCUUGAUCAGAUGUAUGGACGCGCCUAUAACUAAACAUAAAAAUAGGAUAGACACUAAAUUGUUUAAAGCUGCAGAAAUUGAGAACUACACAGAAGCACACUGGACUAACAGUAUAUUUACUACCAUUUUUUCGUGAAUAGAGUAGGGACAAUAAGAUUUGUACUUGAUGUACAGAGUUUCAAUUCUCACAGUAUAUGAGUUGUAUUUGAUCUUUUAUAUGAUCUCAACUUUACUAUUCCUAGUGAAAGUAUGUUUUGCCAGAUUACUAUUAACGCAACUUUGUUUCUCCUAGAGCACUGGUAGCAACCACAUCAUGAAAGGGGCGACGAACGACGAUCCGAUAUGCAUCGCUGACAGCGAAGGUUAAAUUUUAGUGCACUCUCUUGCAACACGAUCAUUUUGUACUAUCUUUUGUACUUGCUACCAUUUCUGUGCUAUUUAUGUAACAUCCUAAUUCUCGCUCCCUCUGUUGCUCUUUGAAAGAUGUUUUACUGGAACGCCAUAUUGGAAUGUUUUGUCUGAUUGCUUCUCCAUGUAAUUGUUCUUCUAUUGAUAUUUUAAAGUUUUCCUCUCAUUAAUGAGUGUAGAAGGAUCGAUAAAGCAAAUUCUUUGAAUGAACAAGCUAAUCUCAU
rnacentral:lncRNA from 1 species